UGAAGUCGCCGAUCCCUACCAGCUCUCCAGGAAAAAGAAAUUACAGGUGAGGUGACAGUUCAAAAUGAACGAUUUCAGGGGAUUUCGCGCUGUUUUCCACAUCAAAUUCAUGCGUUCCAAACAGUCAUCAAACCGAAGGGGUAGGCGUUGCCCAUGGCUCGUCAUCUAGGGCCGGGGCGCGCCGCGGCAAUGGGCAAUCUGAUCCACCGCUCCUCUCCCAUGUUGACGAAGCUGCCAUUGGUGAAUACUUGAUUCCGUGAGAGAGAGAGUGGGAGGUGAUAUAGAAAGGUGGAGAUUUCCUCAAGAUCCCCACACCUCUCGCCUAGUUUAGUCCGUGUAAGAUUCCAAGAGCGUUCACCCCCCCUUUCUCUCUCCAUGGCCUAAUCAUUGCCAUUAGUUUAAUCCCAUUGCUGAGGUGCACCCCUCGUUGGCCGCCCACAUUCCCCUCUUUUCCUGCCAAUGGGAAGUGAAGUGGAUGCGCCCGUCACCUCGUGCCCUUUGUGAGCUUGGAUCCCGGUCAAUGGCGCGGCGAGGCGGUGGCGAUCGGUAUCGACAGCGGCAGUGCUGGGGGGCACUGCAGGAGGACGCCGGUGAUGCGGAGGAGGGAGGGGGUGGCGAUGGCGCGAUCAGGAGGAGCGGCGAGGUGAUCACCUGAAGGAUUUCCUACAGCGGUAGGCAAGUCUCAUUCUUGGCUGAACAACGGAAGGAAAGGGAAUAGCCUUUUUUUUUUCCUUCUUCGUUUUGGGGUGGUUUUCUUUGAACUGUCUGACCGGGUGUGCUCACGUCGAUUUGUUCAAACGUAUGCUUGAGUGUGUCUUGUGAUCUGUUGUGUGUCUGGAGUUGGGUUGUGCCAUGGUUGGGUGCGUGUGGAAAUAACGCGUGUGUUGGUGUGAAGGAUGUAAACACAGAGACAGAGAGGAAUGAAGAGUUGUGACUUGUGAGAGGGAAACGAAAUGCAGGGAUUGAUGAAUAAUUCUCACAUUUUUGUAGUUA